rnacentral:rRNA from 1 species
GACGAACGCUGGCGGCGUGCUUAACACAUGCAAGUCGAACGGAAAGGCCCUGCUUUUGUGGGGUGCUCGAGUGGCGAACGGGUGAGUAACACGUGAGUAACCUGCCCUUGACUUUGGGAUAACUUCAGGAAACUGGGGCUAAUACCGGAUAGGAGCUCCUGCUGCAUGGUGGGGGUUGGAAAGUUUCGGCGGUUGGGGUUGGACUCGCGGCUUAUCAGCUUGUUGGUGGGGUAGUGGCUUACCAAGGCUUUGACGGGUAGCCGGGCUGGGAGGGUGACCGGCCACAUUGGGAUGGGACUACGGCCCGGCCUCCUACGGGACGCAGCAGAGGGGAAGGGAACACUAUGGGCGGAAGCCUGAUGCAGCAACGCCGCGUGGGGGAUGAGGGCCAUCGGGUUGUAAACCGCAGUCGCCUGUGACGAAGCGUGAGUGACGGUAAUGGGUAAAGAAGCACCGGCUAACUACGUG